rnacentral:rRNA from 1 species
ACGAACGCUGGCGGCGCGCCUAACACAUGCAAGUCGAACGAGAGAGAAGGAGCUUGCUUCUUCGAUCGAGUGGCGAACGGGUGAGUAACGCGUGAGGAACCUGCCUCAAAGAGGGGGACAACAGUUGGAAACGACUGCUAAUACCGCAUAAGCCCACGGGUCGGCAUCGACCUGAGGGAAAAGGAGUGAUCCGCUUUGAGAUGGCCUCGCGUCCGAUUAGCUAGUUGGUGAGGUAACGGCCCACCAAGGCGACGAUCGGUAGCCGGACUGAGAGGUUGAACGGCCACAUUGGGACUGAGACACGGCCCAGACUCCUACGGGAGGCAGCAGUGGGGAAUAUUGCACAAUGGGGGAAACCCUGAUGCAGCGACGCCGCGUGGAGGAAGAAGGUCUUCGGAUUGUAAACUCCUGUUGUUGAGGAAGAUAAUGACGGUACUCAACAAGGAAGUGACGGCUAACUACGUGCCAGCAGCCGCGGUAAAACGUAGGUCACAAGCGUUGUCCGGAAUUACUGGGUGUAAAGGGAGCGCAGGCGGGAAGACAAGUUGGAAGUGAAAUCUAUGGGCUUAACCCAUAAACUGCUUUCAAAACUGUUGUUCUUGAGUAGUGCAGAGGUAGGCGGAAUUCCCGGUGUAGCGGUGGAAUGCGUAGAUAUCGGGAGGAACACCAGUGGCGAAGGCGGCCUACUGGGCACCAACUGACGCUGAGGCUCGAAAGUGUGGGUAGCAAACAGGAUUAGAUACCCUGGUAGUCCACACCGUAAACGAUGAUUACUAGGUGUUGGAGGAUUGACCCCUUCAGUGCCGCAGUUAACACAAUAAGUAAUCCACCUGGGGAGUACGACCGCAAGGUUGAAACUCAAAGGAAUUGACGGGGGCCCGCACAAGCAGUGGAGUAUGUGGUUUAAUUCGACGCAACGCGAAGAACCUUACCAAGUCUUGACAUCCCUUGACAACCAUAGAAAUAUGUUUUCUCUUCGGAGCAAGGAGACAGGUGGUGCAUGGUUGUCGUCAGCUCGUGUCGUGAGAUGUUGGGUUAAGUCCCGCAACGAGCGCAACCCUUGAUCUUAGUUGCCAUCAUUCAGUUGGGCACUCUAAGGUGACUGCCGGUGACAAACCGGAGGAAGGUGGGGAUGACGUCAAAUCAUCAUGCCCCUUAUGACCUGGGCUACACACGUGCUACAAUGGCGGUCAACAGAGGGAGGCAAAGCCGCGAGGCAGAGCAAACCCCUAAAAGCCAUCCCAGUUCGGAUUGCAGGCUGCAACUCGCCUGCACGAAGUCGGAAUUGCUAGUAAUCGUGGAUCAGCAUGCCACGGUGAAUACGUUCCCGGGCCUUGUACACACCGCCCGUCACACCAUGAGAGCCGGGGGGACCCGAAGUCGGUAGUCUAACCGCAAGGAGGACGCCGCCGAAGGUAAAACUGGUGAUUGGGGUG